rnacentral:rRNA from 1 species
GACGAACGCUGGCGGCGUGCCUAAUACAUGCAAGUCGAGCGAAGUUUUUCUGGUGCUUGCACCGGAAAAACUUAGCGGCGAACGGGUGAGUAACACGUAAAGAACCUGCCUCAUAGACUGGGACAACUAUUGGAAACGAUAGCUAAUACCGGUUAACAGCAUUAACUGCAUGGUUGAUGUUUAAAAGUUGGUUUUGCUAACACUAUGAGAUGGCUUUGCGGUGCAUUAGCUAGUUGGUGGGGUAAAGGCCUACCAAGGCGACGAUGCAUAGCCGACCUGAGAGGGUGAUCGGCCACACUGGGACUGAGACACGGCCCAGACUCCUACGGGAGGCAGCAGUAGGGAAUCUUCCGCAAUGGGCGAAAGCCUGACGGAGCAACGCCGCGUGAGUGAAGAAGGAUUUCGGUUCGUAAAGCUCUGUUGUUAGGGAAGAAUGAUUGUGUAGUAACUAUACACAGUAGAGACGGUACCUAACCAGAAAGCCACGGCUAACUACGUG